rnacentral:rRNA from 1 species
CCUACGGGGUGCUGCAGUGGGGAAUAUUGGACAAUGGGGGGAACCCUGAUCCAGCGACGCCGCGUGAGUGAAGAAGUAUUUCGGUAUGUAAAGCUCUAUCAGCAGGGAAGAAAGAAAUGACGGUACCUGACUAAGAAGCCCCGGCGAACUACGUGCCAGCAGCCGCGGUACUACGUAGGGGGCAAGCGUUAUCCGGAUUUACUGGGUGUAAAGGGAGCGUAGACGGCGAUGCAAGUCUGAAGUGAAAGGCGGGGGCCCAACCCCCGGACUGCUUUGGAAACUGGAUGGCUGGAGUGCAGGAGAGGUAAGUGGAAUUCCUGGUGUAGCGGUGAAAUGCGUAGAUAUUAGGAGGAACACCAGUGGCGAAGGCGGCUUACUGGACUGUAACUGACGUUGAGGCUCGAAAGCGUGGGGAGCAAACAGGAUUAGAUACCCUUGUAGUC